AAAAUCCGUCGACUUUAGAAAUCGUGAGGGUUCAAGUCCCUCUUACCCC
rnacentral:tRNA from 1 species